CAGUAGCCGCGGUAAUACGUAGGUGGCAAGCGUUGUCCGGAAUUAUUGGGCGUAAAGCGCGCGCAGGUGGUUUAAUAAGUCUGAUGUGAAAGCCCACGGCUCAACCGUGGAGGGUCAUUGGAAACUGUUAAACUUGAGUGCAGGAGAGGAAAGUGGAAUUCCUAGUGUAGCGGUGAAAUGCGUAGAGAUUAGGAGGAACACCAGUGGCGAAGGCGGCUUUUUGGCCUGUAACUGACACUGAGGCGCGAAAGCGUGGGGAGCAAACAGGAUUAGAUACCACAGUAGUCCCUGUCUCUUAUAC
rnacentral:rRNA from 1 species